AACGGAGAGUUUGAUCCUGGCUCAGGAUGAACGCUGGCGGCGUGCUUAACACAUGCAAGUCGAACGAACCUUCGGGUUAGUGGCGGACGGGUGAGUAACGCGUGAGAAUCUGCCCUCAGGAGGGGGAUAACGGUUGGAAACGACCGCUAAUACCCCAUAUGCCGCGAGGUGAAAUGAAUUUCGCCUGAGGAUGAGCUCGCGUCUGAUUAGCUAGUUGGUGGGGUAAAGGCCUACCAAGGCAUCGAUCAGUAGCUG
rnacentral:rRNA from 1 species